GUGCAAACAAUUGUUCGGCCGGUGUUCACAAUGUUACGUACAGUCCUCAUUACAAUAGCUGCAGCUCUUGCAUCCAAUCCAGAUGUAGGUUCAUCCAUGAACACAAUAGAAGGGUUAGCUACUAGUUCAACAGCAAUUGUUAGCCGUUUCCUUUGUUCUGUUGACAGUCCAUCAACUCCAGGCAAACCAACCAAAGCUCCUCUUAGUGGACUCAGCUCCACAAGCUCCAUUACCUCGUCAACAAAUGCCUUUUGUGUCUCUACGUCAACCUCUGAUGGCAAACGUAGCCAAGCAGAAAACAGUAGUGAUUCAAGAAUGGUCAAGCAAGGUGAGUGGAUGUCAUUUUGCUCACA
rnacentral:misc_RNA from 1 species